UACGGGGGGGGCAAGCGUUGUUCGGAAUUACUGGGCGUAAAGGGCGCGUAGGCGGCCUGUUAAGUCGAACGUGAAAUCCCCGGGCUCAACCCGGGAACUGCGUCCGAUACUGGCAGGCUUGAAUUCGGGAGAGGGAUGUGGAAUUCCAGGUGUAGCGGUGAAAUGCGUAGAUAUCAGCAGGAACACCCGUGGCGAAGGCGGCUUCCUGGGCCGCCCCUGACGCUGAGGCGCGAAAGCGUGGGGAGCGAACGGG
rnacentral:rRNA from 1 species